CACUAUAUAGAUCAAGAUGGCCUUGAAUUCAUUCUACCUGCCUCUGCCUCCCCAGAGUUGGGAUUAAAGGCAUUUAACGUGCUAUUUACAUGUUCUUAAUAAGUAGCCUAAUAGUCUUAUAUUUAUGUUUCAUGAUUAUUGCAAAAAUUAAUUAAUAAAAUAUCAGCCCCAAUGCAAUGCCCAGAGUUUGCUUUGCAUGUGUAAAAAUUGCACUGAAAAAAAUCUCAAAACGGGCUGGAGAUGACUUAGAUGUUAAAAGCAUUUGUUGCUCUUGCAGAAGCCUUGGGUAUAGUUUGUUUCCUGCACGUUCUAGCUUGAAACUCUCGGUGACUCUAGUUCCAGAUGAUCCAACACCCUCUUCUGACUUCUGAAGGCAUCAGGAAUGCACACUGUGUACAUGCAUAUUGCAGGCAAAACACUUUUACACAUAUAAUAAAAAUACUUAACAUAAGCAAGUACAGCUCACACGCAAAACAUACCCAAAACCCCUCUGUCCAAACAUAGUGGAAAACUUCUGACUAUAAUCUGAAAGGCAGAAACUGAUGUGAAGAAGUCAAGAGAACUGAAUCCUGAUUGCAGCUGGCUCACUGACUGCUGUGUGAACUUGAGCAAAUUAUACCUUCUUCAAAGGCCCAUUUCCACAUGUCAUUUAAUGGUGUGGGUGGAGAUGACACUGAAGGUCCCUAACUUAUACCACCCUUAUGCAUUAGGUUUUCAUACAAUGUUGUCAUAUGUUAUUACUGUCAAACUGUAUGAGAAUGCAGGUCGAUUGUUACUGAAGUGUAGCUUGGAGCGUUGUUAAAUGAUUGAAUGCAACUAUCAGCUCAUCUAUGUUUUGAAUUAUUAUCCAAGUAUACCAAGCCCAUUCCUGUUCUUUUGUCAGAUAUAAAAAUAGAGACACUGUUUAGAAUAGGUUGUUUGUUUGUUUUUCCAUUUGAGCAGGUCUGGUCUAGGGCUCUUGACCAGGUCAUAUAGAUUGCAUAGAUUUAUUCAUAAUGGUACUAUGCCUGCUUUGCUGCAUUUCUCGUAAAUUUCUUUACCUUUGUUUGCUAUUAUAAAUACUUUCCACAUUUCUGUAACUGGGUGCUUAUUGCUAGAAGAGAGAAAACUUAUCAGUGUUCUGUUAAUUUAUCUUGGAUUAAGCCAUCUUAUCAAAUUGAACAAUUUUUUUAGUUUUUUUUUAAACUACAAUUUCUAGGCUUCUCAAAAAUAAAAUCAUCACCAAGUCAAGAGUUUUAUAGUUCCUAAUGUAUGUGCAGAUCCCUUUCUUUCCUUUUGACUUUGCUCAUAGCUCUGAGACAGCAGUGAAGAGAAAAUUAAGAAGGAACAUGAAUAAAAAUCUGUAGAUUAGUAAAAAAAAUGUUUAUUGCAUUCAGGGAGGGUUCCGAUGUUUUUCCUUUAAAGUUUUAUUUCUUCAGUCUUUGACCAAGAAAGUUUCUUCCUACUCUUCAUCGCCUCCUUAUGUUUGUAUAUCUGUCAUUUAUAUUCUUUGUGUAGAACUGAUAGAUGUGAAAGUGCUGUAAAAGUUCUCAGCACAUUGCCAAAUUACUCUGUAAAAAGUUAUGCCAAUAUAAACCCAAUAGAUAAUACAUAUGUUAAAAGUAAAGCAAAACGUCAUCAUCAUCAAUAGCACCAAUAUCAUUGUCCUAGAAUGCUUACUUUCUACAUUUUAUUAGUACUUUAGCCCAAAAUGAUGUCUUAUUUUCCUAAUAGUAAAAGCAAGCAGCUACACAGUGCUCAUUAAAUUUCAGGCAUUCUUCAAAGACUUCAUUCACAUCAGCUUACUUAAUUCUUACAAGGACUCUCUGAGCUAGGUUCUAAAGCUACCCUUGGGUUCCAGGAGAUCAACUGUGCCGUAGGAAGAUUAAACAAGUCACCCGGAGUCUCUCCACAAGUGACUUAGCUAAGGCAUUCUGGAUGCUGUAUUAGACAGGGUCCUCCAGAGACCCAGGACAGAUAGAUAUAGGAGGCACAUGCCAUAUGUAUAUGGGAAUCUCUUAGAUUUGUUUUUACAGUGAAAGCUGAAGACUGCAAGAAUGGCUGUCAGCAUGCUGAAGGAUUGAUGAAUAUGGGAACUGCUCCAUCCACGAAGAUGGAUUCUUCUGCAUUGCUAACUUCCCUCUGAAAGCCUGAAGAUCCCUGGAGAGUCAUUAGUGCUGAGUCCACACUGGAAGGCACAAAGAGUCUGCAGCUGAUGCAGUGAUAGACAGAUCGACUCAAAAAAAGCAAGGCAGGCAUCUGAAGACUGCGGAGACAUAUUUUAUUUGGCUUGCCUAUUGGAAGACUUUUGUUCCCAUCAACAAGGGCAAUAUCACUAAAUCAGAGCCACACAGUCAAUGGAGUUAGCCAAGUGCCGAUGCUGAGCGGUCAGUGACAUCAAUCAUAGUCCUUCAGCCCAUCAGUAUCCAAGUGGGGACAGGCUAGAGAGCUAAUCACAGUGGAGGACAGUUCACCGAAAGAUGCUGAAAGGUAGAUGGCCUCUCUCAGGAUUAUUUUACUCAUCAUGACCUCGGAUGUAUAACCCUUCAAAGAGGAGGUAUGGAGUCUACAACCAAACCUGUGACAAAGUUGACCUCCAAGCUGUUAGUUUUCAACUAAAACUCAAGCAGGAUUUGGGAGCAGGGAGCUAUGGACCGGGAUCUGAGAAGUUGGAGCCAGAGCAAGAAACCAGAAGUGCCUGGUCCCAGAGGACUUCUGCCUUUGUGUGUCCUGAGUCCACCUGGCAGGUCACUUGGAGCAGAAAAGUUCACCUUACCUCUGCUUUCAGGAUAUGUCAAAUGUCCUGAGUGCAGUGGAUCCUCUGGUAUGUGUGCAGACAUAGCCUCUUCCAGGGAGCAGACUUGCUAGCAGUCUGUCCAAGCAGAAAGGACCAAGCAGAACAGGAUUGGUACUCCACAGCAGCUUUCAUGUCCAGACUACAGGAAGUGCUAAGUGGUUCUGAAUCCUUCCAGAAAUCAACUGUUAAUAGAGAUCCCAGAGUGAGUAGACAAAACUAGAACAUAUAGGAAUGUCUUAAUGUCGCGGCUAGGUUUUGUAUUGCAGUAACAAAAGAUCAUGACCAAAAGCAACUUGCCAGCUUAUAACCCUCUUCACAGGAAGUUGGGGAAGGAACUUGGAGGAAGCUGAAGCAGAAACCAUGGGGAAGGGCUGAUUACAGAGUCUUUAUCCAAGGCUAGCUCAGCCUGCUUUCUUAUGGACCUCCACUCCUGGUCAAGGACCGUCUGAAAUGUAGGUCCUCUCACAGCAAUCGUUUAUUAAGAAAAUGAAUCACAACUUGUCCACAGGACAACCUGGUAGGGCAUUUUCCCAGUUGAGGCUCGUGUCAUCUUGGCAUAAAACCAGAUUGCACACUUAGUGACUACAUUGCGUGGCAGUGGGUUUCUAACACCCUCACAUACUGUGAACUCCACAGAGUCUAGCUGAUCCACUCAGGUACCACUUGAGGCUCCCUAAACACCCAAAGAACUGACUGGGACUGACAAGGUCUGGAAUGGGUAUAAAAGCAAGACUCUCAAAUUUUUAUGAUUUACAAGUGAUCCACUCUAAAAGAGACUAUGGACUAAUUUUAGUGAGUUUUUUUUAUCUGAAUGCCAUUUAAAUGAAUCCUGUAGAAAAGCAUUCUUUAGUAGUUCUCUCUAAAAAUAUCAGACAUAUCUUAGUUUGUCAUAUAAUAAGUUCUGUUUAUAUGCAUAAAAAUUUUUGCACCUAGAAAAAAUCGGCAUCAGAAAAAUACAAAUAACGGGCAAUAAAAAAAAUUAGAUAUGUCCUCCAUCUACCAAAUGACAUUAUAGUCUAGGCUGGUGUCUCCUCACUCUAAAAUGAGAGUGUUACGGUAUUUGGUAUGUAAGGCUCUUUCUAGCUUUGGAACUGUGCAAAAUGUGAAAUAAGAACAAAUUUUCAUAUAGUCAGUGUAGAGACAGUGUGGUGGUUUGAUUAAGAAAUGUUCUCCUUAUUGGGCCAAACAUUUGAACACUUGGUUCUUACUUACUUGUGCUGUUUUGAUAGACUAUAGGAAAGCAUAAUUUUCUGAGGAGCCACCAGAUUGAU
rnacentral:sRNA from 1 species